rnacentral:rRNA from 1 species
CCUAGGAAUCUGCCUGGUAGUGGGGGACAACGUUUCGAAAGGAACGCUAAUACCGCAUACGUCCUACGGGAGAAAGCAGGGGACCUUCGGGCCUUGCGCUAUCAGAUGAGCCUAGGUCGGAUUAGCUAGUUGGUGGGGUAAAGGCCUACCAAGGCGACGAUCCGUAACUGGUCUGAGAGGAUGAUCAGUCACACUGGAACUGAGACACGGUCCAGACUCCUACGGGAGGCAGCAGUGGGGAAUAUUGGACAAUGGGCGAAAGCCUGAUCCAGCCAUGCCGCGUGUGUGAAGAAGGUCUUCGGAUUGUAAAGCACUUUAAGUUGGGAGGAAGGGCAGUAAGUUAAUACCUUGCUGUUUUGACGUUACCAACAGAAUAAGCACCGGCUAACUUCGUGCCAGCAGCCGCGGUAAUACGAAGGGUGCAAGCGUUAAUCGGAAUUACUGGGCGUAAAGCGCGCGUAGGUGGUUUGGUAAGAUGGAUGUGAAAUCCCCGGGCUCAACCUGGGAACUGCAUCCAUAACUGCCUGACUAGAGUACGGUAGAGGGUGGUGGAAUUUCCUGUGUAGCGGUGAAAUGCGUAGAUAUAGGAAGGAACACCAGUGGCGAAGGCGACCACCUGGACUGAUACUGACACUGAGGUGCG